rnacentral:rRNA from 1 species
UACGGGGGGGGGCAAGCGUUGUUCGGAAUUACUGGGCGUAAAGGGCUCGUAGGCGGCCAACUAAGUCAGACGUGAAAUCCCCAGGCUUAACCUGGGAACUGCAUUUGUGACUGCAUGGCUGGAGUGCGGCAGAGGGGGAUGGAAUUCCGCGUGUAGCAGUGAAAUGCGUAGAUAUCAGGAGGAACACCGGUGGUGUAGACGGCUAUCUGGACCGUAACUGACGCUGAGGCACGAAAGCGUGGGUAGCAAACAGG